UUCACUUGAUCAAUUGAUCAAGAUGAAUUAGAUUUGGAUCAAGGAAGAUUAAAUCUCCCUAAUCAAUGCUAACUUAUCAACCUUCAACUCAUUGAUCAAAAAGAAAAAUGCAAAGCCAUUCACUUGAUCAAUUGAUCAAGAUGAAUUAGAUUUGGAUCAAGGAAGAUUAAAUCUCCCUAAUCAAUGCUAACUUAUCAACCUUCAACUCAUUGAUCAAAAA
rnacentral:lncRNA from 1 species